GACGAACGCUGGCGGCGUGCUUAACACAUGCAAGUCGAACGGAAAGGCCCUGCUUUUGUGGGGUUCUCGAUUGGCGAACGGGUGAGUAACACGUGUGUAACCUCCCCUUGACUUUGGGAUAACUCCAGGAAACUGCGGCUAAUACCCGAUAGGAUCUCCUGCACCAUGGUGGGGGUUGGAAAGUUUCGGCGUUUGGGGAUGGACUGGCGGCUUAUGAGCUUGUUGGUGUGGUAGUGGCUUACCAAGGGUUCGACGGAUAGCCGGCCUGAGAGGGUGACCGGCGACAAUGGGACUGAGAGACGGACCAGAAGCGUACGGGAGGCAGCGGGGGGAAGUAUUGCGCAGUGAGCGGGAGUCUGAUGCAGCAACGUCGCGUGCGGAAUGACGUGCUUCGGGUUGUAAACAGCUUUCGCCUGUGACGAAGCGUGAGUGACGGUAAUGGGUAAAGAAGCACCGGCUAACUACGUG
rnacentral:rRNA from 1 species